GUGAGGAAUAUUGGUCAAUGGACGAGAGUCUGAACCAGCCAAGUCGCGUGAAGGAAGACGGUUCUAUGAAUUGUAAACUUCUUUUGUGCAGGAAUAAAGUGGGUUACGUGUAACCUUUUGUAUGUACUGUACGAAUAAGGAUCGGCUAACUCCGUGCCAGCAGCCGCGGUAAUACGGAGGAUCCGAGCGUUAUCCGGAUUUAUUGGGGUUAAAGGGUGCGUAGGUGGAUUGAUAAGUCAGCGGUGAAAGUUUGCAGCUUAACUGUAAAAUUGCCGUUGAAACUGUCGGUCUUGAGUGCAAAUGAGGUAGGCGGAAUGUGUUGUGUAGCGGUGAAAUGCUUAGAUAUAACACAGAACUCCGAUUGCGAAGGCAGCUUACUGGGAUGCAACUGACACUGAUGCACGAAAGCGUGGGUAUCAAACAGGAUUAGAUACCCCAGUAGUCC
rnacentral:rRNA from 1 species